rnacentral:misc_RNA from 1 species
UGAGCGGAGGGCACUGCCGUGGCUGUGUGAUGUGGCCGGCAAGGCUGUACAGUGGCCGCGUCGCCUUGGCGGCUGCAACCACCGCUGGGCGGGGAGAGAGAGCCUACCCAAGAGCCGAAGCGCAAGUGGCGCCACACCUCACGGUUCUCUCCUCUCCUGCCAUCACACUCCGGCGGAUGGCGCACUUUUCAAGCACGCCGACCAGCUUGUGCUCUCGAUCCCCCACCUCACCGCUCGAUGCGCUUGUGGAUGAGGUGAGCCCCUUCAUCCCGGCAACAUUCACCUCGAUUCCGCAAAUCUCACGUCAGCUGCCGCCAGAGCUGAUGGAGCGCGUGUGUGACCCCGUCUGCGGUGGCUUGCGGCCCCUCUUGUCUCGCUACGCGGAGCGCUUUGAAAGCAAAAUGAUCGGGCAGGUUCACGUGGUGCGCAGCCGCCUCAGGCAGAGAGAAUCGACAGCGCCGUGCCGCCGGGCCAACGCAGGUGCCGAAGCGGGUCACUCGUUCGCCGUUCCAUUGUCCUCGUCUGGUAAUGCCGCUGCUACAGCCCCAAAGUCGAACUCGGUGGACCUCCAGGCUAUUUUCACUGAACUCCAGGAGCUGUUCCCGAGCUACCUCGUGCCAGUCAAGGCCCUCUGGACGACUGCCCCGGAGGCCGAGGAGCAGCAGGUAAGGGCCCGCGUACUCGAUGCUCUUCGGUCGCCGCAGCACAGAGCAUGGCUCACCUUUCACGAGCACCCGGCGCACUGCGCCUCUCGCAGUACUUCAGCUGAUGAGGGGGAGCGGACUCACGUGCUCGAACACGGGUAUGUGCAACUGCGACUCGACCCUGCGGCAGGCGAUAACAGGGCCGCCGCGCCAAUGCCGCAGUCGCCAAACACGCGGAUGGCGGGGCAUGAGGUGCAGCCGUACGAGUGGUACCGGGUGGCGCGUGUACUGCCGACCACAGCAAGGGAGCUGCUCUUCUCGGGUGAGCUGCAAGAGCAGGCAACCCUUCUCCUGCCACCCGGGCGGGAUGUCUGGCACGUUUUGUUGAGCGCGCCUGCUCUGUUUGAGCUUCGCUAUGCGGCCCCCACGACCGUCCAUAGCGGGCAACAGGCACGCGUGCCGACCCUCUCUGCCGAGGCCUCUUCGUCAGCGCUCGCUUGCGUGACGUAUGACGCCACGCCGCCGCCAUCCUUAUGCGCCUCCGUCUACGUGCGCUUUCGACUCGAGGAGCGCUUCGUCCCAACAGACAUGGCGGGCGCGCACGAGGAGAGCAUACUACGCGAGCUGGAGACACUCACUGCAGACCGGGCGGCAAGCGCAUGCGGCCUCAGCUCGCGCCAGCGACGCCGCAAGCGCAAACUGCAGCGCCAGCUUGCCUACCUGCGCAACCCAACCCCAUACUUCGACGAGCGGGUCCUAGCACAGCAUCUCUUCGACCUUCUCCCGCUGCGUGAUGGGGUGCAUCAGUCGGCGCUCUUAGGAUCGUUGCCGCAGCCUGCCGUGCAAGCUUUUCCUCAAAAUGUGACGGAGCUUUUACAAGCACGGAAUGAUUUGUUUCAGCUAUCCGAUGCGCGACACGGCAUCCUGGUGCAGCGCGCCGAUGCCCCCAAAGUCGCUCAACGCUCCAUCGAAAGCGUUACUGGGGAGGAAAUACUCCUGCACAUCUUCUCCUCCUAUUCUCUCCGUAGCGACCCGCGAGAAGGGACGACGAUCAGCCGAAGUCUCCCGCGACUGCCGCGACUUGUGCGUGAGCGACUUUUCGCCAUGCAGGAUAUUAUAGCCGAGGUGCUGCUUCUCUACCCUGACAAGGUGGAGGUGCUCGCGGACCGGUCCUCCAACAUCUCACCCCUCUCCUUGUCCUCGUCGCCACACACCAGCGAGGCUGAUGAGCGUGCCUUGCGCGAGUUGCGAGCCGUCCGCGGUCGCAGCGAUUUUUUGGUCCCAUUCCGUUUUGUGGGGCAGUGGCAGGCUAAGUUAACAGAAAAGUACACGAAGCAGCAAGAGAAGGACGCGACGAAGAGUAUGCGUGCCCGCCAGAGAAGCGAAAGCAGCCACCGUCGACCGGCUCGAUACUGACCAGCGUUCGAGAAAUGGGUCGACUGGCGAGAGGCAAUCGUGGUGUCCGCCGGCCAUUCAGGGACGGUGCGUUUGGUGCAGAGUGCUAUGGGUCUUUGACUGCCGUUUCUCGCCCUUUUUCUCUGCGUGUGUGUGCACUUGCGUGUUCUUGCCUUUGUGUGCUCUUAUCGAUCGAUGUUCCUCAUCCGGUAUGCCGAGUUUUCGGUAUCCCUGCAGCUGCCGUGCGCGAGCGCACGCGUGCAUGUGAACGAGGGAGCUCCAACGAACGCCAUCUUUUCGUCACACAAACACAGAGGAAACAGGGUAUCUGACUACCGCGCCGUUGCCCGUCGUACAGCUACUCCAUUCAUGUGAAAGAUCAACU